CGAACGGGUGAGUAAUGCAUCGGAAUGUACCGUGUAAUGGGGGAUAGCUCGGCGAAAGCCGGAUUAAUACCGCAUACGCCCUGAGGGGGAAAGCGGGGGACCGAAAGGCCUCGCGUUAUACGAGCAGCCGAUGUCUGAUUAGCUAGUUGGUGAGGUAAGAGCUCACCAAGGCGACGAUCAGUAGCGGGUCUGAGAGGAUGAUCCGCCACACUGGGACUGAGACACGGCCCAGACUCCUACGGGAGGCAGCAGUGGGGAAUUUUGGACAAUGGGCGCAAGCCUGAUCCAGCCAUGCCGCGUGUCUGAAGAAGGCCUUCGGGUUGUAAAGGACUUUUGUUCGGGAGGAAAUCCCGCUGGUUAAUACCUGGCGGGGAUGACAGUAC
rnacentral:rRNA from 5 species